UACGUAGGGUGCGAGCGUUGUCCGGAAUUAUUGGGCGUAAAGAGCUCGUAGGCGGCUUGUCGCGUCGGAUGUGAAAGCCCGGGGCUUAACUCCGGGUCUGCAUUCGAUACGGGCAGGCUAGAGUUCGGUAGGGGAGAUCGGAAUUCCUGGUGUAGCGGUGAAAUGCGCAGAUAUCGGGAGGAGCACCGGUGGCGAAGGCGGGUCUCUGGGCCGAUACUGACGCUGAGGAGCGAAAGCGUGGGGAGCGAACAGG
rnacentral:rRNA from 1 species